rnacentral:rRNA from 1 species
GAUGAACGCUGGCGGCGUGCUUAACACAUGCAAGUCGAACGGAAAGGCCCCUGCUUGCAGGGGUACUCGAGUGGCGAACGGGUGAGUAACACGUGGGUAAUCUGCCCUGCACUUCGGGAUAAGCCUGGGAAACUGGGUCUAAUACCGGAUAGGACGUUGGUCUGCAUGGCGUUGUGGAGAGAGUUUCUGCGGUGGGGGAUGGUCUCGCGGCUUAUCAGCUUGUUGGUGGGGUAGUGGCUUACCAAGGUUUUGACGGGUAGCCGGCCUGAGAGGGUGAACGGCCACAUUGGGACUGAGAUACGGCCCAGACUCCUACGGGAGGCAGCAGUGGGGAAUAUUGCACAAUGGGCGGAAGCCUGAUGCAGCGACGCCGCGUGGGGGAUGACGGCCUUCGGGUUGUAAACCCCUUUCGCUAGGGACGAAGCGCAAGUGACGGUACCGGGUGAAGAAGCACCGGCUAACUACGUG